CCUACGGGGGGCAGCAGUGGGGAAUAUUGGACAAUGGGGGCAACCCUGAUCCAGCCAUGCCGCGUGUGUGAAGAAGGCCCUCGGGUUGUAAAGCACUUUCAGUGAGGAAGAACGCCUGGUGGUUAAUACCCAUCAGGAAAGACAUCACUCACAGAAGAAGCACCGGCUAACUCCGUGCCAGCAGCCGCGGUGAUACGGAGGGUGCGAGCGUUAAUCGGAAUUACUGGGCGUAAAGCGCGCGUAGGUGGCUUGAUAAGCCGGUUGUGAAAGCCCCGGGCUCAACCUGGGAACGGCAUCCGGAACUGUCAAGCUAGAGUGCAGGAGAGGAAGGUAGAAUUCCCGGUGUAGCGGUGAAAUGCGUAGAGAUCGGGAGGAAUACCAGUGGCGAAGGCGGCCUUCUGGACUGACACUGACACUGAGGUGCGAAAGCGUGGGUAGCAAACAGGAUUAGAUACCCCUGUAGUC
rnacentral:rRNA from 1 species